AUUGAACGCUGGCGGCAGGCCUAACACAUGCAAGUCGAGCGGAUGAAGGGAGCUUGCUCCUGGAUUCCGCGGCGGACGGGUGCGUAAUGCCUAGGAAUCUGCCUGGUAGUGGGGGAUAACGUCCGGAAACGGGCGCUGAUACCGCAAACGCACUGAGGGAGAAAGUGGAGGAUCGUCGGACCUCACGCUAUCAGAUGAGCCUAGGUCGGAUUAGCUAGUUGGUGGGGUAAAGGCCUACCAAGGCGACGAUCCGUAACUGGUCUGAGAGGAUGAUCAGUCACACUGGAACUGAGACACGGUCCAGACUCCUACGGGAGGCAGCAGUGGGGAAUAUUGGACAAUGGGCGAAAGCCUGAUCCAGCCAUGCCGCGUGUGUGAAGAAGGUCUUCGGAUUGUAAAGCACUUUAAGUGGGGAGGAAGGGCAGUAAGUUAAUACCUUGCUGUAUUGACGUUACCAACAGAAUAAGCACCGGCUAACUUCGUG
rnacentral:rRNA from 1 species